rnacentral:rRNA from 1 species
UACAGAGGGGGGCAAGCGUUGUUCGGAAUUACUGGGCGUAAAGGGCGCGUAGGCGGCCGCCUAAGUCAGACGUGAAAUCCCUCGGCUCAACCGGGGAACUGCGUCUGAUACUGGGUGGCUUGAAUCCGGGAGAGGGAUGCGGAAUUCCAGGUGUAGCGGUGAAAUGCGUAGAUAUCUGGAGGAACACCGGUGGCGAAAGCGGCUCUCUGGAACGGUACUGACGCUGAGACGCGAAAGCGUGGGGAGCAAACAGG